UCCUCUGUAGUUCAGUCGGUAGAACGGCGGAAUGUUAAUCCGUAUGUCACUGGUUCGAGUCCAGUCAGAGGAGCCA
rnacentral:tRNA from 3 species